rnacentral:rRNA from 1 species
GACGAACGCUGGCGGCGUGCUUAACACAUGCAAGUCGAACGGAAAGGCCCUGCUUUUGUGGGGUGCUCGAGUGGCGAACGGGUGAGUAACACGUGAGUAACCUGCCCUUGACUUUGGGAUAACUUCAGGAAACUGGGGCUAAUACCGGAUAGGAGCUCCUGCUGCAUGGUGGGGGUUGGAAAGUUUCGGCGGUUGGGGAUGGACUCGCGGCUUAUCAGCUUGUUGGUGGGGUAGUGGCUUACCAAGGCUUUGACGGGUAGCCGGCCUGAGAGGGUGACCGGCCACAUUGGGACUGAGAUACGGCCCAGACUCCUACGGGAGGCAGCAGUGGGGAAUAUUGCACAAUGGGCGGAAGCCUGAUGCAGCAACGCCGCGUGCGGGAUGACGGCCUUCGGGUUGUAAACCGCUUUCGCCUGUGACGAAGCGUGAGUGACGGUAAUGGGUAAAGAAGCACCGGCUAACUACGUGCCAGCAGCCGCGGUGAUACGUAGGGUGCGAGCGUUGUCCGGAUUUAUUGGGCGUAAAGGGCUCGUAGGUGGUUGAUCGCGUCGGAAGUGUAAUCUUGGGGCUUAACCCUGAGCGUGCUUUCGAUACGGGUUGACUUGAGGAAGGUAGGGGAGAAUGGAAUUCCUGGUGGAGCGGUGGAAUGCGCAGAUAUCAGGAGGAACACCAGUGGCGAAGGCGGUUCUCUGGGCCUUUCCCUGACGCUGAGGAGCGAAAGCGUGGGGAGCGAACAGGCUUAGAUACCCUGGUAGUCCGCGCUGUAAACGGUGGGUACUAGGUGUGGGGUCCAUUCCACGGGUUCCGUGCCGUAGCUAACGCUUUAAGUACCCCGCCUGGGGAGUACGGCCGCAAGGCUAAAACUCAAAGGAAUUGACGGGGCCCCGCACAAGCGGCGGAGCAUGCGGAUUAAUUCGAUGCAACGCGUAGAACCUUACCUGGGUUUGACAUGGAUCGGGAGUGCUCAGAGAUGGGUGUGCCUCUUUUGGGGUCGGUUCACAGGUGGUGCAUGGCUGUCGUCAGCUCGUGUCGUGAGAUGUUGGGUUAAGUCCCGCAACGAGCGCAACCCUUGUUCACUGUUGCCAGCACGUUAUGGUGGGGACUCAGUGGAGACCGCCGGGGUCAACUCGGAGGAAGGUGGGGAUGACGUCAAGUCAUCAUGCCCCUUAUGUCCAGGGCUUCACGCAUGCUACAAUGGCUGGUACAGAGAGUGGCGAGCCUGUGAGGGUGAGCGAAUCUCGGAAAGCCGGUCUCAGUUCGGAUUGGGGUCUGCAACUCGACCUCAUGAAGUCGGAGUCGCUAGUAAUCGCAGAUCAGCAACGCUGCGGUGAAUACGUUCCCGGGGCU